rnacentral:rRNA from 1 species
GACGAACGCUGGCGGCGUGCUUAACACAUGCAAGUCGAACGGAAAGGCCUUUUCGGAGGUACUCGAGUGGCGAACGGGUGAGUAACACGUGGGUGAUCUGCCCUGCACUCUGGGAUAAGCCUGGGAAACUGGGUCUAAUACCGGAUAGGACCGCACUUUUGUGUGUGUGGUGGAAAGUUUUUUCGGUGUAGGAUGAGCCCGCGGCCUAUCAGCUUGUUGGUGGGGUAAUGGCCUACCAAGGCGGCGACGGGUAGCCGGACUGAGAGGUUGGUCGGCCACAUUGGGACUGAGAUACGGCCCAGACACCUACGGGAGGCAGCAGUGGGGAAUAUUGCACAAGGGGCGCAAGCCUGAUGCAGCGACGCCGCGUGGGGGAUGACGGCCUUCGGGUUGUAAACUCCUUUCGCCAGGGACGAAGCGUUUUGUGACGGUACCUGGAGAAGAAGCACCGGCUAACUACGUG